AUAAAAGGUACUCUGGGGAUAACAGGCUGAUACCGCCCAAGAGUUCAUAUCGACGGCGGUGUUUGGCACCUCGAUGUCGGCUCAUCUCAUCCUGGGGCUGUAGCCGGUCCCAAAGGUAUGGCUGUUCGCCAUUUAAAGAGGUACGUGAGCUGAGUUUAAAACGUCGUGAGACAGUUUGGUCCCUAUCUUCCGUGGGCGCUGCAGAUUUGAGGAAGCCUGCUCCUAGUACGAGAGGACCGGAGUGGACACACCUCUGGUGUAUCGGUUGUCACGCCAGUGGCAUUGCCGAGUAGCUAAGUGUGGAAGAGAUAACCGCUGAAAGCAUCUAAGCGGGAAACUCGUUUCAAGAUGAGAUCUGCCGGGGCCUUGGGCCUAAAGAGUCGUUCAAGACCAGGACGUUGAUAGGUCGGGUGUGGAAGCGCAGUAAUGCGUUAAGCUAACCGAUACUAAUUGCUCGUGCGGCUUGACCCU
rnacentral:rRNA from 1 species